UGGGGAAUAUUGGACAAUGGGCGAAAGCCUGAUCCAGCAAUGCCGCGUGAGUGAUGAAGGCCUUAGGGUUGUAAAGCUCUUUUACCAGGGAUGAUAAUGACAGUACCUGGAGAAUAAGCUCCGGCUAACUCCGUGCCAGCAGCCGCGGUAAUACGGAGGGAGCUAGCGUUGUUCGGAAUUACUGGGCGUAAAGCGUACGUAGGCGGUGACUCAAGUCAGAGGUGAAAGCCUGGAGCUCAACUCCAGAACUGCCUUUGAAACUAGGUCGCUAUAAUCACGGAGAGGUGAGUGGAAUUCCGAGUGUAGAGGUGAAAUUCGUAGAUAUUCGGAAGAACACCAGUGGCGAAGGCGGCUCACUGGACGUGUAUUGACGCUGAGGUACGAAAGCGUGGGGAGCAAACAGGAUUAGAUACCCAUGUAGUCCCUGAGCGGGCUGGCAAGGCGCAU
rnacentral:rRNA from 1 species